GUCUGACCCGAGGCGGACGGACCCGGCAUGACGUCUCCAGACCCGAGCUGUGGUGCCUCAGUGUCUGCUCCUACCGGCGUGUCACACCUAGAGGAUGAGGAGGAUGAAGAUGAGCAAGGCGAAAAGUUUGAGUUUGACGACGACGAACCCACAGACAUGAACUCUGGUGAAUGGACCCGGCAGCCGGUGGUGCCGAGCUCAGACCAGGAGACGGCAAUGCAGGGAUUGAAUGGAACCAGCAGCUCACGGCAGAAGAACCAGGACGACGCAGGGAAUGCAGCUUUCCCUCAACUGCAUGAACUGAAGAACUGGAGCCUGAAGAUGAAGCCUUCUGCUUUUCUCUUGACAGAUGUGGACGUCAGGGAGCCGCCGGAGGGGUGAGUUCACACAGAACACGGAUCAGAACCAGCCCCCGUUCAGCUUUGAGUUGUUCACCUUGUACUUAUAUAUUAUAUUAUAUUUGCUUCAUCUGUGUGUUUCAAGUAAAUCAUUCAAAGCAAUAACAUCACAUGACAGAAUCCACCUCACACCCAUAAAGUGUUGUGUUCAUGGCUUUAAGGCUGAACCUUUGGUUGAACCUCACAUCAGCUGAUUGUCACUGCAAUAUCAACUAUAUUGUGUUGAUGACGACCUUUCAAAUCCAGAUGUUCCACCUCCUCUGACCUGGGACUAACGGCAGAGUCACAGAGUUUCUGCAAAGCCAGCUGUGUCUACGAAGGUAAGCGCUGAAGUUCCAGCUCUCGGCUCUGUGUCUAUUGCAGCAGUGUCAGGAUGUUUCUGUAUUGACUUUCCUCGGGGCAGUGGAGGCGUUGCAUCGAGCCAAGGAGUGGCUCAGCGUGGUCUCAGAGCUCACGCAGCGCCUCAGUCACAAAGGUACGCCACCUGUAGGGCUGCAGCCGCUGUGGUCAUAGAGCAGCCGUAGUCUCAGAGGGUCUGUGGUCAUAGAACAGCUGUGGUAGUAGAGGGUCUGUGGUCGUAGAACAGCUGUGGUUGUAGAGGGCUUGUGGUUGUAGAGGGCCUGUGGAUGUAGAGGGUCUGUGGUAGUAGAGGGUCUGUCGUGGUAGAGUAGCCAUAGUCUCAGAGGGUCUGUGGUCGUAGAACAGCUCUGGUUGUAGAGGGCCUGUGGUGGUAGAGGGUCUGUGGUCGUAGAGGGUCUGUGGACANNNNNNNNNNNNNNNNNNNNNNNNNGCUGUGGCUCCACUUCAGCCGUUCUCAUGGUCUGAAGCACCGGAGAGGAGCCUGGUUCUGACCCGCCGAGCGGCCGCCGGCUGCAGCACAGGCUCUGAGGGAUCUGUUGGGAUCCGCCUCUGUCUCUCUUAAAACUGUUUUGGUCUCAUUCUUACGUCUGAAAAGCAGCUCGUGAAAGAGUUUUGUGUGUAAACAGAUUCUAUAUGAAUCGAUGACAUGAGUCCUGGUCCAGAUUAAAUACGUUCACAACCUGAACCUUUCCAGGCGUGUUCGUUCCCGUCUGGAACAGUGUGUUACGGUAUAGACUCUGAGGCAGCGUGAAGCCGCCCUGCCCCCUGCUUUUCCACGAAAAGUGUAGAUUUCACAUUAUGCAACACACACGCAUAGUUUUCACACGUGGAGUUUAACUACAGCAGCGACACUGUUUGUUCAGGUCUUAUUUGACACACACACACACACACACACACACACACACACACACACACACACACACACACACACACACACACACACACACACACACACACACACACACACACACUCACUCACAUGCACACAAAGUUUUCAGAUUAUUUCUUGUUCCACACAUCAUUUAAUCACAUUCACUGCUGACUUACUGAAUAACUGUAGAAGCUCUGAAACCAUUAGCACUGGUCAUAACAUUAAUAAUCAUUGAUAAAUGCUCUAGAUCUAAUCAGAUCCCAGGAAUAAAUGUGUUUCCUGUCCGCUUUAAAGUCCUUCA
ensembl:lncRNA